UACAGAGGGUGCAAGCGUUGUCCGGAAUCAUUGGGCGUAAAGCGCGCGUAGGUGGCUUCGUAAGUCCGUUGUGAAAGUCAAAGGCUCAACCUUUGAAAGCCGAUGGAUACUGCGGAGCUAGAGUACGGAAGAGGCGAGUGGAAUUCCUGGUGUAGCGGUGGAAUGCGCAGAUAUCAGGAGGAACACCAAUAGCGAAGGCAGCUUACUAGGCUGUAACUGACGCUGAGGCACGAAAGCGUGGGGAGCAAACAGG
rnacentral:rRNA from 1 species